rnacentral:rRNA from 1 species
AGAGUUUGAUCCUGGCUCAGGACGAACGCUGGCGGCGUGCCUAACACAUGCAAGUCGAGCGGAGACAGUGAGUAGCUUGCUAUGAGCUGUUUUAGCGGCGGACGGGUGAGUAACGCGUGAGCAACCUUUCCCAGACAGGGGAAUAACACACCGAAAGGUGUACUAAUACCGCAUAAGACCACGGGAUCACAUGGUUCUGGGGUAAAAGAUUUAUCGGUUUGGGGUGGGCUCGCGUCCGAUUAGGUAGUUGGUGAGGUAACGGCCCACCAAGCCGACGAUCGGUAGCCGACCUGAGAGGGUGAUCGGCCACAUUGGGACUGAGACACGGCCCAAACUCCUACGGGAGGCAGCAGUGGGGAAUAUUGGGCAAUGGGGGGAACCCUGACCCAGCAACGCCGCGUGGAGGAAGAAGGUUUUCGGAUCGUAAACUCCUGUCCUUGGAGACGAGUAGAAGACGGUAUCCAAGGAGGAAGCCCCGGCUAACUACGUGCCAGCAGCCGCGGUAAUACGUAGGGGGCAAGCGUUGUCCGGAAUAAUUGGGCGUAAAGGGCGCGUAGGCGGCUCGGUAAGUCUGGAGUGAAAGUCCUGCUUUUAAGGUGGGAAUUGCUUUGGAUACUGUCGGGCUUGAGUGCAGGAGAGGUUAGUGGAAUUCCCAGUGUAGCGGUGAAAUGCGUAGAGAUUGGGAGGAACACCAGUGGCGAAGGCGACUAACUGGACUGUAACUGACGCUGAGGCGCGAAAGUGUGGGGAGCAAACAGGAUUAGAUACCCUGGUAGUCCACACUGUAAACGAUGAAUGCUAGGUGUAGGGGGUAUCGACCCCUUCUGUGCCGCAGUCAACACAAUAAGCAUUCCGCCUGGGGAGUACGGCCGCAAGGUUGAAACUCAAAGGAAUUGACGGGGGCCCGCACAAGCA